AACGUACAUUCUGAAUAAUUUUAGAAGAAAACAUGCAACUACAUCGUAGAUUAAGUUAUCUACUGCGUUCUUGAGGAGUAAAACUCAAUAGAGUGAAUAUUUGAUUAACUCCUAUGUAGUUAAAAAUAUAUAUUGUGCUAGCUCAAUACAUGUAAAUAUGUAACGAGUAUGGUUGGCAUCCGUGACGCUGUAAAACAGCAACAAUACUUCAAAAUGCUGGCAUAAAUAUCAUGUAACUACGCUGUUGUAUAUGAAAAACAGGAGCUACUUGACACCAGAGAUGAUUAAUGUCUGCAAUGUACCCUAAAAUAACUACAACUCCACCUCAACGUUGCUAAUGACUUCUACACCUUAAAAUGGCUCUAUUUAUUACCCCUCCCCUCCGUACGAUAGUUUUAACUCAACUAUUACAAGUUUACAACAUGUUGUGAUCUUUCCGAUCACAAAAAAUGAAUUUCCACAGCCUUUAUUUAGCUGAUUAUUGAAUCCAUGACGUUAACGCUUAAGCAGAUUUAGUAACCUCAUGAAUAGCGUUUGCCAAGUAACCAACAUUUCCAGUAGUAACUCCUGCCAUACUGAUACGACCAUUACGAGUCAUGUAGAUGUGAUACUCUUUUGUCAAUCGGUCUACUUGUUCCGGUGUCAUCCCACUGUAGCAGAACAUGCCAAUCUGGUUGGUUAUGUGUUCCCAAGAUAGAGGUGAGCCCAACUUCUCAAGAUUUCCCCUUAAAGCAGUUCUCAUCCCGAUGAUACGAUCAGCCAUGCCCUUCACUUCCCCGAGCCAUAGAGUUUUCAAGUUUGGAUCUCCAAGGAUUGUAGAAACAACAAGAGCACCAUGAAGAGGUGGAUUACUGUACAUGGGCCUGGCAAGUUGCUGCAACUGACUUUUCACUGCCACUGCUUGUUUUUCAUCCUCACAGACAACACUUAGGCAACCAACUCUCUGACCAUAUAGCCCCAUAUUUUUUUGCAUAUGAUUGGGCACAU
rnacentral:misc_RNA from 1 species